UUAAGCCAUUUAACCUAUGUUAGUAUUAAAAUUUGAAUUAAUAAAAUGGCCGUAGGCUAAAACUGAAACUGAAAACAAGAAUUCAUCCAUUCUUCUGGCGGUAAUCAAAUGCUUAACAUCAUGGAAUUGAUAAUAAGCAGAAAAUAUCUACGAAUGAAGAAUAGUUUAAUUUCAAAUUAAAAAAACUGGUGUUUUAUUGCAUGUACGCAUAUAACCCACGCCAACGUCAUGUUUCAAGUUCUAAGAAGGAAUAGAAGGUAUAAAUAGUGCAUUCAUUAUGUGUAUUUAUUGACUGUAUUUUGGUACUCAUUGGAUGUAAAUUCAUCAUACGAGCAAUUGUUAGCACCGGUUCGUGUUUUGCAAAGGAAUUUAUAAGGUUCUGAUCAAAUUUUCCAGUCAUUAAUACGUUUCCUUAUACAAUAUCUGUUUUUUCAUUGUCAUAUAUCCGGUUUUCUUCUUAGAUAUGCUAGCUAUUUUAACUAAAUGAAAGUUUAUAUUAGAAAAUCUUACAGCCAGUUCCACGAUAUCGAAAGAACACGUUCGCACAACUUUUACACGACAAACAGCUGAUUUCCGUUCCACUAAAAUCCAUCAGAACGAAAAUUUGCACGAAAAUCAAAGCGAACGAAAACGUAAGCAUUUCAGUGUAAUUUUGCGUUCCACUAUCUUUUUUCUUUCCUACGCAUGCGAACACAAAUGUCAAAAUCAGUCACUUGUGUGUUUGCUAUCGUAUAAUAACAAUUAAGGAAAAUUGUUUUAACAUAAACAUUGCUUGAUUCAAAAUAGAAACAAAAAGCACGAAAAAAUCAUCAACUACACAGCUGCGGGUAUAUGGAGGAGAAUCCUGUGUUCGCCAGAGGAGUGCCAAUUUUUGGAAGCAGCAGAAGAAGUUUUAAAUCGGGGCGGAUUUGGGUAGUUCUGCAACCGGGCACCCACUUCUCUUCCAUCAUAUCCAAAAGAGCCCGAAAACUUGCUUCGACACACGAAAAUUGGCCACAAACCUAGAAAAAAUCAUUUUUUAUUAUUUCAAAAAUGUAAAAAUACAAUCAUACUUACUGGUUGUUAGGUACUUCAAAUAAAUUCGAAGCAUCUCUUAAA